GUGUAACGCAUCGACUACGUGAAUGAAAAACGCUACGAAAAGAGGUUCCCCGACCAAGUUUACUCACGGUCGGAUCAAAAAAAAACACGCGUUAUAAUAAUCACUGUAUAGUAAAACCAACGCAUUCAUCGCUACGCUCAGAAUCUGAAAACCUAUAAUUUUUACAACGUCGACGGCACACGUUAUUAUUAAUCGCGCUCCGGUUUGUUUUUCG